rnacentral:rRNA from 1 species
UACGUAGGGGGCAAGCGUUAUCCGGAUUUACUGGGUGUAAAGGGAGCGUAGACGGCAGCGCAAGUCUGGAGUGAAAUGCCGGGGCUCAACCCCGGAACUGCUUUGGAAACUGUGCAGCUAGAGUGCGGGAGGGGUAAGCGGAAUUCCUAGUGUAGCGGUGAAAUGCGUAGAUAUUAGGAGGAACACCAGUGGCGAAGGCGGCUUACUGGACCGUAACUGACGUUGAGGCUCGAAAGCGUGGGGAGCAAACAGG